CACGAGGCUGCCCCGCCGCUGCUUGGUGCCGAGUCGUGGUGCCCCGGCAGAGUGGUGGCGACGGCGGCGGCGGCGGCGGCGACUCCUUCCACUAAAGUCUACAAGGAAAAAUUUCAAUACCGUGGCGGCCGCGAGUGACGAAGCAUUUACUGCGACAGUGAGGUGGAAAGGCUUUUAUCAGGUGGAGGCAACUUUUCUUAUGCUGGCUGGGAAGGUGCCGCGUGAUAACGUCCGGGCGAUCACUCACCCCAUUGACAGCCAAUACAGCACCUGCAGGCUGUUUUCCGGCCAGCUGGUGUUUCCUGGCGGCCUCCAGCAGGCGACCAUGACGCAACAGAGCUCCUCGCAGCAGACUCCCGCC